UUAGACCUCAUUUAAGGGCUGACUGCCACUAGGGAAGGAUUUCUUUCUGGAGAUCGCUUCUCUGUGUAGUUUUUUCUGCAAGUCUAGAUCUUUGGAUAAAGUCUUGGAGGCAGAGCCUACCAGUGAUCUAGGUGCUGUGAUCCCUUGGCUCCUGAGAAGAUCUCAGCAUUUCAUAGAAUCACAGAAUUCAUGAGAUGUCUCCAUAAAGGAGGAUGAAAGACUGGAACUCCACCAAAGCUCAGGAGGUACCUGUUUCUGCAAGCCCUGGACAUUCCUCAUUCACAGUGGCAGCAAAAUUGAUAUCCAGCUGCUUCAUCAUCUUGUCUGCAGAUGUGUGAUAGACUCCUGAAGGACCAGUACACUUCAUCCAGAAAGCCAGCAGUGACAGCUUCUUGUGAAACUCUGGGAUUGCUGAAGGAGAACACAAAAUGAAUGAUGAAACAAAGUUGUGCUCAGUGCACUGUCUUCCUAAAUGGAAAUGUGAUAUGUGUGGAGGACAUCCACUCCAUCUCACUAAUGGAAGGAAGAUGUGAGGAAAAUCUUCUCCUGAUCCAGUUCUGGACACUGUCUCAUCUUUUUUAAAUACUAUGAAUUACUAGGGAAAAUAAAUGGUCUGCAUGAGACUGGUCCUUGUCUGCAUGAGACUGCUCCGUAGCCUUGGGGGAACUGGACUAGAUGGCCCUUAGAGAUCCCUUCUAACUCUAAGGAUUCUAUGAAUAAGGUCCCUGACCAGCUUCAGUGACUGCUACAUCUGUUUGUGAGUUGUCUCCUGCUAUGGUGCACUCCCUGCAGUUAAGGUGGUUAUUUCAGCAGGCCUCCUGCCCAAACCAGCCCUCUUCAGAAGGAAGACCCCCUAAUGUGUCUCUUACCAUCAGUAAGGGAGGUGAUGCUUCCCAAGUUCUCAGUGCUGAUCUCUGCAAUAUUCUCCAUUACAAGAGUCUGCCUGGACAGCUUAUCAAGGAGGUCUCUUGUCACAAAUGGUGUUUUACCGGAGAAGACAAUUUGCUAAUGGAAACAAGAUGGAAAGGAAGAAGUCAUUUUGAAGCCUCAAAAAAAAAAAAA